ensembl:lncRNA
GUAGGGAACAAACCAGACCACGGACCAGGCCACGUUAGGGGUUGGUGUGUUUCUGGGUGGAAGAGCCUGCUCAGCCAGGGCCGGCAGGGCAAGCUGUCCUCUCUGAGCUGACAGGGAAGCCUGGGGAUGCUAGGGAAUUUGAGAGUCCCCGCCUGGCAUGCACUCCCCUUGAAAGGAUUGUCAGGAAACUGGAGGCCUUGCUGAAUUUGGAGAGGAUGAUUUAGUUCCUACUUGAUUGCUCUCCUCCUAAGUCCCUCUCUCCAUGAAGCUCCUUGAAUAUAAAUUCGGGAAUUUAUCAUCAUAGCAUUAUUGUCUGCUUCUAACCUGUAACUCCUCAUUUAUAAAAAUGGGGGCUCUGGACUAGAUCUCUCAAUUCCCUUCAGAGCCAACAUUUGAUGGUUUUAAGUGAAAAUGUGUUCCACCUGGAACCAAGGGGCGUUCAGCUCAAGCCUCUAAAAAACAUAGUUCAAGCUUAACUGGAAGGACCUGGAGAGCUGGUUACAGCCGCUGCCUCACAGCAGGUCCCAGGUAACAAGGGCCCUCUCACCUGACCCGAGCGUGGUAGGAGACAGCACGGGAUGAUUCUGAAGCCCAUAUCCUGUCCCCUCCAGGGCUUGGCAUUCUGUUUCCUGGAACUUCUCCAUUCUAAGCGGAGAUACUAUUAAAGAAUGUUUUAAAUUGAGGAAUGAGAAAUAUUCUCCACGUGAGUUUUUAAAGUCCACGUGUGAGACUGGUCGUUCUUAAGCUCAAAGUCACCUGCAGUGCUUGUUAAAAUUGCAGUCUGCGGCUCAAUUCCAGCGCUCUGACUCAGUGGAUUUGCAUUUCCAGAGCUUCUAGGUGAUUCUGGAGCAAAUUUGUGGUGGAAAACUACCUGGUGCUACCUGGUAUGUAGGAGGCUGCACUUCGCAGGGACCUGGCCUUAAACAGGCUCGGAGCCCCGCCCUCGCCGGCUUCCCAUGGCCUGUGAGGUCCGGGGAUCCGAGCAGCCUCUUCACUGACCGGCUUCAGGCCACUGGGUUCCACAAUUGCAUCAGUGAUCCGAACGGCCUGUCUCCUCAGUGCCAAACAGCUGGACACUUAGAGAGGGGAGGCCAUUCAUGUCCAGACACACAGGGUUGGUGAACACAUGCAGGUCCCGGGAGGAUGGCAUGCCCAGAGAGCAUCAGAGCACGGUGCCCUCCCCACACAUAUGUUACCCUGUGCGUCUCUUCCAUCUGGCUGUUGCUGAGUCACAGAAAAAACCUCCUUUUCCUCGAUGGAGGAAAACAGCUACCCUUCAUGUGGAAACCCUGCAAAGUUCUCAGCUAAAGCAGCAACGAUCUGUGUUCAUUGCUUCAUCCCUGAAUGUGAGACAUGAGGCAGAAUAUGUCCUCCUACAGGAGAGAAAGGACGGUGGGGGCUGUAGGCGGUCCUGCACCUCUACAAAGGAAGCAUGCCGGGCCGGUAUGUUGCUCUUGCCUAUGUCCUUCGAAUCACAUGUAAAUUGGAACUGGGCAAGAUCUGUAAUCCGUGUUAAAUCUGAUUUAACUAUAAAAUAUUUUGUGUUAUCUUAAUAGGGAAAGAAACAA